CCUACGGGAGGCAGCAGUGGGGAAUAUUGGACAAUGGGGGAAACCCUGAUCCAGCGACGCCGCGUGAGGGAAGAAGUAUUUCGGUACGUAAAGCUCUAUCAGCAGGGAAGAAAAUGACGGUACCUGACUAAGAAGCCCCGGCUAAAUACGGGCCAACAGCCGCGGUAAUACGUAGGGGGCAAGCGUUAUCCGGACUUACUGGGUGUAAAGGGAGCGUAGACGGCAGCGCAAGUCUGGCGUGAAAUGCCGGGGGCCAACCCCGGAACUGCUCGGGAAACCGUGGAGCUGGAGUGCAGGAGAGGUACGCGGAAUUCCUGGUGUAGCGGUGAAAUGCGUAGAUAUCAGGAGGAACACCGGCGGCGAAGGCGGCUUACUGGACUGUAACUGACGUUGAGGCUCGAAGGCGUGGGGAGCAAACAGGAUUAGAUACCCGGGUAGUC
rnacentral:rRNA from 1 species